CGUAGGGGGCAAGCGUUGUCCGGAUUUAUUGGGCGUAAAGAGCGUGUAGGCGGCCAGGUAGGUCUGCUGUGAAACUCGAGGCUCAACCUCGAGACGCCGGCGGAAACCAUCUGGCUAGAGUCCGGAAGAGGAGAGUGGAAUUCCUGGUGUAGCGGUGAAAUGCGCAGAUAUCAGGAAGAACACCCGUGGCGAAGGCGGCUCUCUGGGACGGUACUGACGCUGAGACGCGAAAGCGUGGGGAGCGAACAGGAUUAGAUACCCUGGUAGUCCACGCCGUAAACGAUGAGUGCUAGGUGUGGGGGGUGUCGGACUCCCUCCGUGCCGAAGCUAACGCAUUAAGCACUCCGCCUGGGGAUACGGCCGCAAGGCUA
rnacentral:rRNA from 1 species